rnacentral:tRNA from 1 species
UAGCUCAGUUGGUAGAGCAUCUGACUUUUAAUCAGAGGGUCGCUGGUUCGAGCCC